UUCGGGUUUGUUACAUCUCCCUGCUUCUCGCCUCCCACGUUUCGUGCUCCAAGAAAGAAUCGAGCGCCCGAAGAGCUUCCCCUUCCCCUUUCCCUCCCCUCCCGCUGCCCUUCUAUGCCCCCUCCGCGCGAUCGGACAGCCGGCUGUCCUUUUGCAAGCCCCGCUUUAACCCUCCUCUCCGUCGCGAUCCCCUUCCUCCGUGGGUCGGUUUUUAUCGGAAGCCACCCAAGGAAAGAAACCGGCCUAGAAGCAAACGGCGAAUGGCUCCCGCUCGACCCUCCCCGAGCCGCUCACGAACUUCCGGGAUCUUCUUCCUCCGACGCAUUGUGACCUUAUUCGGAUGGUCCGCUCUCUGCGCCCUAGGUGAGAUUUUCCAGAUCUUGUAAAGACCCCCUUCAGUCGGCCGCCCCAAUGACUAGAUCGGGGCGGGUGCCGCUGUGCCGAGGGGGCCGUCCUCUCAUAUUACGCCAUGGCCUCCCCGAACCUUCCUCCGACGAUGCUUUCAGACCCUUUUCUGAUGGCCCGCUUUCAUCAUCCCCCGUAAGAUCUUCCAGGCUUGGCGAAUAUUUCCGUAUAUUUUGGAUCGAACUUUCCAGAUCGUCCACGCUGGAUAGAUCGGGACGCAUACCGCCUUGAUGGGCGGAACCACCCUCCUGUCUCGCCGUCCCCAGUUCCAUAUGACCUCUCCAGAUCUUCCUCUUCUAAUUCCGUUGAAAACCUUUCUGCGAGGCCGCUUUUUGCACCAUUUUCAAGAUUUGGUGAAGAACCCUUUUCAAGUCAUGGAUUGAAAUUUCCCUUCUGAUCAAUGGCCAGAUCAGGGCUGGCGCCUGAUUGCUCCUGGUUCGCCCUCUCUGAGUCUGUCAUGACCUCCGCAAAUCUUCUUGAAACCCUUCUUCCAUGGUGCUCUCUCUGAUAAGAUUUUCCUUAUUUAGUACAGAAUCCCCAGGAAUUUCGUAUCCAAAUUUCCUGGCCGACCAAAUUGUAGAUCGGGCUCGCUGCUAUGAUCGGAGAACAGGCCUCCUUGCUCUCUCCGUCGGCCAUGUCCUCCCAAAAUCUUCUUCCUCCUGACCUUUGAAACCCUUUCUCCGGUUUCCCGAUCACUGCACCUCCCCAAGUCUUCUUCCAAUAGUUCGAAACAACUUUCAGAUGGCCCGCUCUGUGAAACCCUUGCGGUAUUUUCCACAUCUGGUAAAGAAACCUUACGCGUUUAUCUUAUCUCUCUCUUGCUUUUCAGAACUAGAAUUGAACUAGAGCCAAUAUCGUUUUCCCAAUAUCAGUUAGAACCUGGAUUUUGGAAAGAUCAUUUUGAAACUAGCUAGAUGCUCCUGAAUUGGUUUACGGUCAAAGCUAAAGAAUCUAAGCCUAUGCAUCAUGUUCUAGCAUUUCAUUACGAUUCUUCUGUACUAGGCCUAAGUUUUGGAUUUGUUGGCCAAUGGUUUGUAAUAAUCUUCAAUUACCGCACAUCUGGCUUUUAAUCCAUCAUGUUCUUCUGCUGCAUCGGUGUAUUAUUAUCUAGUAUAAGACAGACUCUUUUGAGGGAAUUUGUUUUGAGAUAUAAUACAUUCUUGAAAAUGAAACAUCUACAUAGUUUUUGGUUGGCACUCUAAACAGGAUGUUUGAUGUAAUGCUUAUGUAUGUCCGUGUCUUUUGAUAUAUUCAUACUUUGCACAGUAUAUAGAGAGACGGUCGAAGACUUAAUAAUCUCAUUUUAGUUGGGUUUGGUAGCCGUUUUAGGCUUGUAAAUAAAGAUUGUGUUAUGUGGACACUUGUGAGAGAUUAUCGGUUUAUAACGGACAAUUUUAACUCUUUGUUGUGCAAUUGUUCAGAGCUUGUAAAGUCUGUUUGUAAUUUACAUUGUCUAUGAAGUGUUUUUGGAAAUGUUUGCUUGUGGAUCCCGAAUGAGAUGUUUUCUUUAUCUCGUUCUUUCUUUUGUGGGUUCUAAGGGAUCAUAGGAGGCUUCGGGGAGGGUGACAUUUGUGGACGGAUACGUAAGGGUGUCACACGACUUAGACAAAUCCAACUAAGUCCGUGACAGAUGGUAUCAGAGUGGGACAAGCACUCAUAGAAACAUUUGACGUGCAAACGUUGGGGAUAUAGCGGGGCUGUGUUGAGGGCAGUCAGCACACGCGCGACCGUUUCGGGGGAAAAUAGGCAUAGAGAUGUAGGGAAAAGGAGUCGCUCGGAGGAGCGGACAUAUGAGAUUAGCAUUCAGAGGAAUGACCAACCCUUCGCGCAAGAGGCAUUACGAGAACAAGCAAGCUUGGAAGAAUCCGAAGCGCACAAAGGUUGUGAUGACUGAGUUCGAGCUAUGAAUCGAUGUUGACAACUAUACUUGAUGUUGUUCAAGGCAAGCGAGACGCUUGGUAAAGGAUAAGACAAUGCAAGGUGGAAUUAGUUGUUCAGCAACCGAAAGAGUUGUGUAAAGCUCAUAGAGGUAAGGGGAAUUGCUAACUCGAAGAAUUCGGUACUCAUGCAUGGGUGUGUAUGCGGACGAUGGAAUGUUCACGGCUAUCCCAAGGCGAUCGAAACUCGACGUCAUGGAUCAUUGAAACUUUCUCUUUAGCAUGUGAAGGAUACGUCCGUAGGAGGCUGAAGUAUGUAGCGAGUUCAGCAUGUUGCUGCCUUGAGUUGUGUAGUGGGGGCUGUAUUGACGUGGAGUCGCAAUCUAGUAAGUACGUUUGUAGGAGGCAGAACAAUGCACAGUUUGUUUAGCAAAUCGGAGUAGUCCGAAGGGGAUAAUGGUCUCCGAAAUGAAGAGAGAUAUUGCUCUAACGGGAUAGAUAUCCAAGAGGGAUAAGUUUCAGCUCUUCAGAGGGAGAAUCAUGUGCAACAAACCGUACAUGUUGAGGAGGAGUACCUCAACAAACAACAACUCCACGAAGCUCAAUGAACCGAGCAAGCGGUGAGGAGUUGUCGAAUGAUCUCACUUGAGAGAAUGCAUUAGUGGAUGCAUUAUGAGAUCAAGUGGAGGAGCGACCCAAAGCAACACAAAUGAAAGCACACUUGGAGUCGAUAUGAAGAUCGGACUUAAGGGAGGUUGACCCGUGGAAUGGUGGGCGCAAGGGCCACCAUCAACUCAAUGCAAAAACGAGGAGCGAAGCAACUUGGCGAAGUACCCAAGCCGCAUGAAGGGAGCCAGCAUAGAAGAUGGAACAUGGAGCGGAGGCACAGUGCUUUCCUUGGACAAAGGUCAAGGACAUGAACUCUUGUAGAGGCAAGAGCAGGAUCAUGUUGUUCCAUGAGUCCUUCAUUCUGAUGGAGCGGACUCAUCUUGCAUGGUGCCAAAGACGAAGGGAGCUUCUGGGCACAUGCACCUUAUCUCGGAGAAGCAUUUGAUGGAGGAACUAAGGCGACUCAACUUGCGGAGGCGAAGUUGGGUUCAGAAGGCCUUGGCACGGGGCAAGAGGACACGGAGGCGGGUACUCUUAAAGAAUAUGCCACAGUGUUACUAUUCAAGUUGCCAUGAAGGAAGCGGUGCGCAGCGAAGAUUGUGCUGGUAGGGGCAGAGGCCCAGGAUCCAGACAAUGGUGCACUAAUUGCAACGAAGUCAGAAAACUUCGGGAGCUACUAGGCGAUGGACUAUCCUAAAGCGGUGCUUCAUCUAGGUGUGACUCAAGAGUGGAUGGAUGAAGGUCGAUUGUCAAAGCAGCAAACAAAAUCGAAAGUAGAAGAAACCCUGUGAUGUAUUGGUUAAGGCUACACAUGGAGGGAUCACAAUUUGUAUUCAUCCCACAAGGAUCAUAAUACAAUGGAGAUGUCACCAGGAGGCGACAUGGUGCAGCGGAUCAUGGUGGAACAGUUCGUGACAAUGCGAUACACAUGAAUGUGUCCCGUGAGGGAUUAGAUCAUAUGGAUGUAUAAUUGGAAGCUACUGGAAACUCCACUUCGGUGAACAACACGACGACAAGAAGGGUUAUGGAUUCAAGGAGUGAAGGUCAUGGUACCGUAGAGGCGGGUCUUCCGUGCGUGCAUCGAAUUUUACAUCGGAUGAAAGCUUUGGUCAUCAGCAUAUGGGGGUUGUGUUCCACCAAGGAAAAAGUUUGAAUGCAAGUACCAGUGAGUCUCAUGGGAGGGACUUGAUCAUGCAGAGGUAUGAUCGAAGCAGUUGGAGAGUUGGACUACUCCAGAGCUUAUAUUCGCUUAAGAGAGCAUGGCAAGUCAGAUGACAAGGUCGAGUAAGCGAACGUUGCUACUAAGGAAGCUAAGGAAAACAGAAUCGGUGCAAACCCUAUAAUGUGAUGGCAGAGGCCAUGCAUGAGAGUUACAAUCUGUCUUUCCAUCGACCAAAGGGAGCUAUUUGGAGAACACAAAGGUGUUAAAGCAGGGGGUCGAAAGGGGCGAGGAAGCGACGAUAGUCCAGAGGGACUUAGCUACCCAAAAUCAAGCAUCAGUUAAAUGGAGGUAGACUCGGAGGAGUGCCACAGAGACAUAUCUACUGAUCGUGAAGAAAAGGGAUGUAGAUGCGAGGCAACGGAUAGUAGGGUCAUAGGCAUGGCAGCGCCAUGGUACCGCAGAGGCGGGACUUCCGUGAAAGCUAUUGAUCCCUUGCUCUCAUGGAGGGAGAGCGCUUGGUUGUGAAAGGGGCCGAGGAGGUAGAGCAUGCAGAGGCAAACUCAAGUACCGAGACAAGGCUGAAGGGCAGAGGCCAAGGAACUUCGUAAGACCGAUGUCAACGAGCUUCUCAUCAAGAUAGCCGAAAGUGAAAGACUUUGGGUCAUGCAAGAGUGCACGACCAAGGAACGAAGCAAGUAGUACGUGAUGCUGUACCUUUGUUACUCAGUGGAGUAGGCGGUCGGGUUGAUGGAGAAGACGGUACAAUCCCAGAGGCGACCAAAUCUAUUAAAGAAUUACUCCAAUUUGGGGUGAAAACUUUCUGUAUUCCAGAAGUUCGAUGGCAUUGAGAAGGUGAAUCAUAAUAACUAACUCAACACAAGGAGUACAAACACUUCAAGUGCUUCAGAAGUGUAAGCAAAGAGCAGGCGAAGACCAGUAACUAGCUCGAUGUAUGGAGUAUAACCUCGAGGAGGCGGGCGAAGUUAAGUAAUCUUUACCUUUUUAACUCUGAAGAGAAUGGGCGAAACCGAGUACCCUAAUUCUCUUAUCUAUCCAACAGAGGAGCUCUGCAUAGGUUCAAAGACCCUUCGAAGAUAAUAGAAGAUAAUAGUUGUCAAAUCCUCACCAAUGGUGAUCAGUGCUACUGAGAGUAGAUUGUCUACUUCAUUUCCCAACGAAAUGUCAAUCAAAAGCGGAAGUGAUACGAAUCUACUUGGAAGUGACAACUAAGUGAAAGAAGAGUCAAUGAGCAAAUUUUGUAGAGGAAGGACCCAAAACAUCAGAAGUUUGCGAGGCGAUGCUCGUUAAAGCUCUAACAAGCAUCCACCCAGUUCAAGCAGCAUGAGGCAUUUAAGAGAUUAGCACAUAGUAAAAAUGGCCUUUUCCUUUAUAUGGAGGAUUCGUAGAAACCAACAGGGAUCAACACAACUUAGCCAACCCCACACUAGAGUCUGAGUCAUUGGCGAGUUGAAGCAGCAUGGCGGAUCAAAAGGUUCGACUACUCAAAAAUAGCAGUGGAGAGCAGCUAGGAGCCAAGAGGCGCAUUGCAGCUGGAGUAGAAGAUUGAAGACUCAGCAAAGACGUGGAGUUGCAGUGCCGGCAAAGGCUUCGACGAGGACGUCGAAGGAAUAAGUGGGGGAGAAUAGCACGGAUAAACUUCUAAAUAAGAUGUUUGAUGUAAUGCUUAUAUAUGUUCGUGUCUUUUGGUAUGUUCAUGCUUUGCACAGUAUGUAGAAGGACGGCCGAAAGCUUAAUAGUCUCAUUUUAGUUGGGUUUAGUAGUCACUUUAGGCUUGUAAAUAAAGGUUAUAUCAUGUGGACACUUAUGAGAAAUUAUCGAUCUGUAACGGACCAUUUUAACCCUUUGUUGUGCAAUUGUUCAGAGCUUGUAAAGUCUGUUUGUAAUUUGCAUUGUUUAUGAACUUUUUUCGGAAACGUUUACUUAUGGAUCCCGAAUGAGGCGUUUUCUUUAUCACGUUCUCUCUUUUGUGGGUCCUAAGGGAUCAUGGGAGGUUUCGG
rnacentral:lncRNA from 1 species